ensembl:lncRNA
GCAACAAGCAGCUAACCCCGCUGGAGGCCGGCCAUACCGGCACAAGCUGAUGAUCAGAACCCAGCGCCUCAUCCGCUUGAGAACCACGUGGCACCUGGGAAAGACAUCCUAUGACGAAGAUGGCACCCUGGACCAUCACAUCUAAGGGAGUGAACGGAGGACGUACCAGUGGCCCUGGGACCUCAGGUGGUGGGUCGUUUUCACACUUUCUUUUGUACAGCACCGGGUGGGCUGCAGUGAUUUUCGUUGUGUGUGAUUUUCUUUUGGGUCCACGGCUGCUGGUAAGUCCAAGUUCCA